GACGAACGCUGGCGGCGUGCUUAACACAUGCAAGUCGAACGGAAAGGCCCUGCUUUUGUGGGGUGCUCGAGUGGCGAACGGGUGAGUAACACGUGAGUAACCUGCCCUUGACUUUGGGAUAACUUCAGGAAACUGGGGCUAAUACCGGAUAGGAGCUCCUGCUGCAUGGUGGGGGUUGGAAAGUUUCGGCGGUUGGGGAUGGACUCGCGGCUUAUCAGCUUGUUGGUGGGGUAGUGACUUACCAGGGCUUUGACGGGUAGCCGGCCUGAGAGGGUGACCGGCCACAGUGGGACUGAGAUACGGCCCAGACUCGUACGGGAGGCAGCAGUGGGGAAUAUUGCACAAUAGGCGGAAGCCUGAUGCAGCAACGCCGCGUGCGGGAUGACGGCCUUCGGGUUGUAAACCGCUUUCGCCUGUGACGAAGCGUGAGUGACGGUAAUGGGUAAAGAAGCAACGGCUAACUACGUG
rnacentral:rRNA from 1 species